rnacentral:rRNA from 1 species
UACAGAGGUCUCAAGCGUUGUUCGGAUUCAUUGGGCGUAAAGGGUGCGUAGGUGGCGAGGCAAGUCUGAUGUGAAAUCCCGGGGCUCAACCCCCGGAACUGCAUUGGAUACUGCCCUGCUUGAGCACUGGAGAGGAGACUGGAAUUUACGGUGUAGCAGUGAAAUGCGUAGAUAUCGUAAGGAAGACCAGUGGCGAAGGCGAGUCUCUGGACAGUUGCUGACACUGAGGCACGAAGGCUAGGGGAGCAAACGGG